UGUUUUCUCCAGGUAUUGUAACACUCACCUCUUCACCUGCCAUCCCUUUUACUUCCCAUAUAUCAGAUGGAUUCUGCUGGACCGGUAACAACCUAGACAGAGGGAGAGAAGACACAAUGAUAUAUGAGUUAGCAUCAGAGUGGGAGGCUCAGCUCUACGUUCCGGAUGUCUAUGGAUUAAAUGAUGCCUACAGACAGGAUCUCCCUUUAAGAAGUUUCUCCCUCAACUCUGAAGUCUAACAACGUAGUGAAUGGACUGUUCUCCAAGGAUAUGUCUUAUAAGAAAAGGCAAGUUAAAAAAAAAAACUAUAGUUUUAUAUAAACCAGAAGAGGUACAAUUUGUAAGUACUGUAGUAGUAUUUUUUAACUCACCUUUGAUGAUAAGAAAAUAACCAAGUAAACUGUAUUUCAGAUAUUGGUAGAGUAAUAAUUAAUCUCAAAGCCCCUUGCAUACUUCACAAACUGGUUACAACUCU